rnacentral:rRNA from 1 species
UACGAAGGGGGGCUAGCGUUGCUCGGAAUCACUGGGCGUAAAGCGCACGUAGGCGGCUUUUAAGUCAGAGGUGAAAUCCUGGAGCUCAACUCCAGAACUGCCUUUGAUACUGGAGAGCUUGAGUCCGGGAGAGGUGAGUGGAACUGCGAGUGUAGAGGUGAAAUUCGUAGAUAUUCGCAAGAACACCAGUGGCGAAGGCGGCUCACUGGCCCGGUACUGACGCUGAGGUGCGACAGCGUGGGGAGCAAACG